rnacentral:piRNA from 1 species
UACACCGUAAUAAAUAUUUUC